CCAAUGAAAAUCCCUCUGUCAGUGUAGUUUACGCAUGAGAUAAUUCAUUUUUGUAUUAUACACAAAUAUAAAAGCAGAAUUAUAUACAGACCUCAAAUAAUUUAGAUACUGACCCACUAAUAUGUUUUGAGCAACAUAUUAGUACAAAAAUAUACACAUAUAACCUGUGCAGUUAUCACAACUCAAGUCUGGAGAAACCCACACUAAUGGGCUACUAAUCCCUGCAAAGACGUCUUCCAACAGGGCACUCAUCUCCUCCAUAAGCCCUCCUCCUCCAGGCAGAGGGCCAUUUCCUCUGGCUUCAGUUUUGGCCCCUGCAGCCCCCACAGCCCCUGACACGGCUGCUGCCAGACUUGCCCCUGCAUCGUCACUCUGAAGAGACACAAGCAACAUCUCCAGUGAAAAACAAAUUAAUUUAACAAGUUCUUUACAACCAGAGGGAGGUAUUAACCCUCUUCUGAGAAUAAAACAAAAACCGAAAAUAUGUUGUUGGUCUUUAUGUCGGAAAAGAUAUAAACAUUAAUAAAACACAAUGUUUUUUUGUCAAA